rnacentral:rRNA from 1 species
AGUGAACGCUGGCGGUAGGCCUAACACAUGCAAGUCGAACGGCAGCACAGUAAGAGCUUGCUCUUACGGGUGGCGAGUGGCGGACGGGUGAGGAAUACAUCGGAAUUUACUUUUUCGUGGGGGAUAACGUAGGGAAACUUACGCUAAUACCGCAUACGACCUACGGGUGAAAGCAGGGGAUCUUCGGACCUUGCGCGAUUGAAUGAGCCGAUGUCGGAUUAGCUAGUUGGCGGGGUAAAGGCCCACCAAGGCGACGAUCCGUAGCUGGUCUGAGAGGAUGAUCAGCCACACUGGAACUGAGACACGGUCCAGACUCCUACGGGAGGCAGCAGUGGGGAAUAUUGGACAAUGGGCGCAAGCCUGAUCCAGCCAUACCGCGUGGGUGAAGAGGGCCUUCGGGUUGUAAAGCCCUUUUGUUGGGAAAGAAAAGCAGCAGGUUAAUACCCCGCUGUUCUGACGGUACCCAAAGAAUAAGCACCGGCUAACUUCGUG